AAGCGGAGGAAAAGAAACCAACAGGGAUUGCCUCAGUAACGGCGAGUGAAGCGGCAAAAGCUCAAAUUUGAAAUCUGGCAGCCUCGCUGUCCGAGUUGUAAUUUGAAGAUUUCUCUUUGUGAGAGGCGCCUUGUCUAUGUUCCUUGGAACAGGACGUCGCAGAGGGUGAGAAUCCCGUGUGAUGAGGCCGCCGAUCCGUGUAAAGAGUCAUCGACGAGUCGAGUUGUUUGGGAAUGCAGCUCUAAGUGGGUGGUAAACUCCAUCUAAAGCUAAAUAUUGGCGAGAGACCGAUAGCGAACAAGUACAGUGAUGGAAAGAUGAAAAGAACUUUGAAAAGAGAGUGAAAAAGUACGUGAAAUUGUUGAAAGGGAAGGUUAUUAGAUCAGACUUGGCGGCGCGCCAUACCUGUCCUUUUGUAGGGCGGACACUGGCGCGUGUUUGCUGGGCCAGCAUCGAUUCGGGCGGCGGGACAUGGUCCUGUGGGAUGUGGCUGUUUUAACACAGUGUUAUAACCACGGGUCUCUGCCGCCUGCCUGGAUCGAGGACUGCGUCUGUUACAGACUAGGAUGCUGCGUAGACUGCCGUA
rnacentral:rRNA from 1 species